CUUGUACUCCCUCCGUCCGAAAAAUACUUGUCAUUGAAAUGGAUGUAUCUAGAUAUAUUUUAGUUCUAGACACAUCCAUUUUGAUGACAAGUAAUUCCGGACGGAGGGAGUACUUG
rnacentral:pre_miRNA from 1 species